rnacentral:rRNA from 1 species
UACGUAGGGGGCAAGCGUUGUCCGGAUUUAUUGGGCGUAAAGAGCGUGUAGGCGGCCAUGCAGGUCCGUUGUGAAAACUCGAGGCUCAACCUCGAGACGUCGAUGGAAACCGCAUGGCUAGAGUCCGGAAGAGGAGAGUGGAAUUCCUGGUGUAGCGGUGAAAUGCGCAGAUAUCAGGAAGAACACCCGUGGCGAAGGCGGCUCUCUAUCUCGAUUCUGACGCUGAGGCGCGGAAGCUAGGGGAGCAAACGGG